GCCAACAUGGCAUAGUGGUUUGUGUGUUGGACUACGACUCUGGAGAUCAGGGUUCGAUUCUCAGCUCAAUGGGA